AGUGGGGAAUAUUGCACAAUGGACGAAAGUCUGAUGCAGCAACGCCGCGUGGAGGAUGACACAUUUCGGUGCGUAAACUCCUUUUAUAUGGGAAGAUAAUGACGGUACCAUAUGAAUAAGCACCGGCUAACUCCGUGCCAGCAGCCGCGGUAAUACGGAGGGUGCAAGCGUUACUCGGAAUCACUGGGCGUAAAGAGCGUGUAGGCGGGUAGAUAAGUCAGAAGUGAAAUCCAAUAGCUCAACUAUUGAACUGCUUUUGAAACUGUCGAUCUAGAAUAUGGGAGAGGUAGAUGGAAUUUCUGGUGUAGGGGUAAAAUCCGUAGAGAUCAGAAGGAAUACCGAUUGCGAAGGCGAUCUACUGGAACAUUAUUGACGCUGAGACGCGAAAGCGUGGGGAGCAAACAGGAUUAGAUACCCUGGCAGUCCACGCCCUAAACGAUGUACACUAGUUGUUGUGAGGCUAGACCUUGCAGUAAUGCAGUUAACACAUUAAGUGUACCGCCUGGGGAGUACGGUCGCAAGAUUAAAACUCAAAGGAAUAGACGGGGACCCGCACAAGCGGUGGAGCAUGUGGUUUAAUUCGACGAUACGCGAAGAACCUUACCUGGACUUGACAUAGAUAGAAUAUAACAGAGAUGUAAUAGUGCUAGCUUGCUAGAACUAUCAUACAGGUGCUGCACGGCUGUCGUCAGCUCGUGUCGUGAGAUGUUGGGUUAAGUCCCGCAACGAGCGCAACCCUCGUGUUUAGUUGCUAACAGUUCGGCUGAGAACUCUAAACAGACUGCCUGGGUAACCAGGAGGAAGGUGAGGACGACGUCAAGUCAUCAUGGCCCUUACGUCCAGGGCUACACACGUGCUACAAUGGGGCAUACAAAGAGCAGCAAUACGGUGACGUGGAGCAAAUCUCAAAAAUGCCUCCCAGUUCGGAUAGUAGUCUGCAACUCGACUACUUGAAGUUGGAAUCGCUAGUAAUCGUAGAUCAGCAAUGCUACGGUGAAUACGUUCCCGGGUCUUGUACUCACCGCCCGUCACACCAUGGGAGUUGAACUCAUUCGAAGCGGGGAUGCUAAAGUAGCUACCCUCCACAGUGGAUUUAGCGACUGGGGUG
rnacentral:rRNA from 1 species